CAACACAGGUUCCAGGAGCACCAAGGGACUUAGCCUCUAGAUCUCCAUGAAGCUACCACCACAGAAAAAUAAGAAACAUAAGCCAUUCAUACGACAACUCAAAGUUCAAAACAAUGGAACACAACUCAUGUCAGAUUCAUUAGUACCUUUGCCUUUAUCGACCUGAAAGAUAUCUUCUGGCUCCUCGGCUUCUGUCAAUGUCCUGAACACACACACACAAAAGAAAAACAAAGAUUGGUUAUCAAAAUUCAACACUGGAGAAAGUAUUUAGAUCACCUGCACUUGCGAAAGCAGUAAUGACAGUGGAAACAACACUUAGCUCACCAUGAGAAUCCAAAGACUGAGGAAGAAAGAAGAGGCCAACAAGAAGGAGAGCAGCGAUGCCUAAUCCGAGUCCGAUUGAGAACCUGAUCUUCAUCAUGCUGGCGGCGAGCUUAAAACCAGUCUUCUCCGACGCAUCUCCAUUUUCUUCUCCUUAAGAAAACCAGUCAGGUUGUUGAAAUCAAGAAGUUCAGCAAAAGAGAAACAUAAAUCGAGUCAGUUUUGAGGCAAAUCCAAGUCUUGCCUUUGCGAAGAACUUAGAGACAAAUCCAAAAGGGAAACUUUGAGAGGGAAGUUGAACAGCUUUGUGUAUUGGCAGAACUAGAUCUCGGCGUCAUCGGUAGAGAUGAAAUCGAGGCUUGAGGAAGAUAACAGGGCCGUGGACACGAAAUCGAGGCUUCAAAAUCGGUGGGAAAGAUGACAGCAGAGAAGAUGAAAAGAAGAAAAAAAAAAA